UACGUAGGUGGCGAGCGUUGUCCGGAUUUACUGGGCGUAAAGAGCGCGCAGGCGGUCGUACAAGUCGCGUGUGAAAGCCCCCGGCUCAACUGGGGAGGGUCACGCGAUACUGUUCGACUCGAAGGCAGGAGAGGGAAGUGGAAUUCCCGGUGUAGUGGUGAAAUGCGUAGAUAUCCGGAGGAACACCAGUGGCGAAGGCGACUUUCUGGCCUGUUCUUGACGCUGAGGCGCGAAAGCUAGGGGAGCAAACGGG
rnacentral:rRNA from 1 species